rnacentral:rRNA from 1 species
CUUGAACGCUGGCGGCAGGCCUAACACAUGCAAGUCGAACGAGUGGCGGACGGGUGAGUAAUGUUUGGGAAACUGCCUGAUGGAGGGGGAUAACUCCUGGAAACGGUAGCUAAUACCGCAUACCAUCAGAUGUGCCCCGAUGUGAUUAGCUUGUUGGUGGGGUAACGGCUCACCAAGGCGACGAUACCUAGCUGGUCUGAGAGGAUGACCAGACACACUGGAACUGAGACCCGGUCCGGACGCCUACGGGAGGCAGCAGUGGGGAAUAUUGCACAAUGGGAGCAAGCCGGAUGCAGCCAUGCCGCGUGGAUGAAGAAGGCCUUCGGGUUGUAAAGUACUUUCAGCGGGGAGGCGUUACCCGCAGAAGAAGCACCGGCUAACUCCGUGCCAGCAGCCGCGGUAAUAC